rnacentral:rRNA from 1 species
CUCCUGGAAACGGGUGGUAAUGCCGGAUGUUCCAGUUGAUCGCAUGGUCUUCUGGGAAAGCUUUCGCGGUAUGGGAUGGGGUCGCGUCCUAUCAGCUUGACGGCGGGGUAACGGCCCACCGUGGCUUCGACGGGUAGCCGGCUUGAGAGGGCGACCGGCCACAUUGGGACUGAGAUACGGCCCAGACUCCUACGGGAGGCAGCAGUGGGGAAUAUUGCACAAUGGGCGCAAGCCUGAUGCAGCGACGCCGCGUGAGGGAUGGAGGCCUUCGGGUUGUAAACCCCUUUUAUCGGGGAGCAAGCGUGAGUGAGUUUACCCGUUGAAUAAGCACCGGCUAACUACGUGCCAGCAGCCGCGGUAAUACGUAGGGUGCAAGCGUUAUCCGGAAUUAUUGGGCGUAAAGGGCUCGUAGGCGGUUCGUCGCGUCCGGUGUGAAAGUCCAUCGCUUAACGGUGGAUCCGCGCCGGGUACGGGCGGGCUCGAGUGCGGUAGGGGAGACUGGAAUUCCCGGUGUAACGGUGGAAUGUGUAGAUAUCGGGAAGAACACC